rnacentral:rRNA from 1 species
UGCAAGUCGAGCGGAGUGAUGGUGCUUGCACUAUCACUUAGCGGCGGACGGGUGAGUAAUGCUUAGGAAUCUGCCUAUUAGUGGGGGACAACAUUUCGAAAGGAAUGCUAAUACCGCAUACGUCCUACGGGAGAAAGCAGGGGAUCUUCGGACCUUGCGCUAAUAGAUGAGCCUAAGUCGGAUUAGCUAGUUGGUGGGGUAAAGGCCUACCAAGGCGACGAUCUGUAGCGGGUCUGAGAGGAUGAUCCGCCACACUGGGACUGAGACACGGCCCAGACUCCUACGGGAGGCAGCAGUGGGGAAUAUUGGACAAUGGGCGCAAGCCUGAUCCAGCCAUGCCGCGUGUGUGAAGAAGGCCUUAUGGUUGUAAAGCACUUUAAGCGAGGAGGAGGCUACUGAAGUUAAUACCUUCAGAUAGUGGACGUUACUCGCAGAAUAAGCACCGGCUAACUCUGUGCCAGCAGCCGCGGUAAUACAGAGGGUGCAAGCGUUAAUCGGAUUUACUGGGCGUAAAGCGCGCGUAGGCGGCUAAUUAAGUCAAAUGUGAAAUCCCCGAGCUUAACUUGGGAAUUGCAUUCGAUACUGGUUAGCUAGAGUGUGGGAGAGGAUGGUAGAAUUCCAGGUGUA